rnacentral:rRNA from 1 species
CAUCCUACGGGAGGCAGCAGUGAGGAAUAUUGGUCAAUGGGCGGAAGCCUGAACCAGCCAAGUCGCGUGAGGGAAGAAGGCCCUGCGGGUCGCAGACCUCUUUGGACGGGGAGCAAGGCCGCCGACGUGUCGGCGGAAGGAGAGUACCCGUAGAACAAGCAUCGGCUAACUCCGUGCCAGCAGCCGCGGUAAUACGAAGGAUGCGAGCGUUGUCCGGAUUGAUUGGGUUUAAAGCGUGCGCAGUCGGCACGGCAAGCCG